rnacentral:rRNA from 1 species
AUGAAGUCAGGAGUCUAUAGGUUUCGAGCUCAUGGUCAGAUUUACCACAACAUCUUCUCAUUUGGUCCAACUCAAGAUGGGCCAAAGCAUUUAGAACUCUACUUCUAUGAUGACGAUCCCGGUUUACGACAUAGGAUUCGGUGCUCCCCGAACCUAGACCGAGAUGUCAUUCGAAGGCUUGUUGACAUCCUGAAGGAUAAUCCUUAUUCCGAAAUGUUCAAGAAUCUAGGUGGAGUCGAUGACCUUGAGGAAUACCGUAUUGAACUGAAAACCGACAUGAGGUUGGACCAACGGAGGUAUAAUGUGCCUAUAUCAUCGGAGGUUGCAGCUAUUUGGGUUGAGGGUAGUGAACUCUGUAAGUACUUUGAGCGUAGCAUAGUAUUGUUCGGCAACGCCAACAAGAGAUAUAGCAUCCAACCAUAUUAUGGAUGUUAUGAUCCGUUGUCUUACCCUUUAUUCUUCCCAAGAGGGGAGAUUGGUUGGCAUCCUGAAAUCCCAAAGAAUGGUGUCAACUUGAAUGAGAUGCUUCAGUCCCGUUGCAGUGGUCGACAAAGUCAAGGUAAUUCAUAUAAUGAAAAUAACAUGUGUUAA